UCUGCCGAUCAUACCAGCACUAAAGCACCGGAUUCCAUCAGAAAUCCGAAGUUAAGCGUGCAUGGGUGAGAGUACUACUAGGAUGCGUGACAUGUCCGAUGCGAUCAUACCAGCACUAAAG
rnacentral:rRNA from 15 species